rnacentral:rRNA from 1 species
GGGUCAGUAGGUUGGUCGUGCCCCCGGUACGUACUGGUCUCACUGAUUCCUCCUUCCUGAAGAACCGUAAUGCCAUUAAUUUGGUGUUGCGGGGAAACAGGACUGUUACUUUGAAAAAAUUAGAGUGUUUAAAGCAAGCUAACGCUUGAAUACAUUAGCAUGGAAUAAUGGAAUAGGACGAUCGAUCCUAUUUUGCUGGUUUCUAGGAUUGACGUA